rnacentral:rRNA from 1 species
GGUCAAGUUAUUAAGGGUGCAGGGCGGAUGCCUUGGCACUAGGAGCCGAUGAAGGACGUGAUAAGCUGCGAUAAGCUUCGGGGAGUUGCACGUAAACUUUGAUCCGAAGAUUUCCGAAUGAGGAAACUCACUUAGAGUAAUGUCUAAGUAUCAUUAAGUGAAUACAUAGCUUAAUGAGGGGAACUCAGGGAACUGAAACAUCUAAGUACCUGAAGGAAGAGAAAGAAAUUCGAUUCCGUAAGUAGCGGCGAGCGAACGCGGAUUAGCCCAAACCAAUAAAGUUUUCUUUAUUGGGGUUGCGGACAUAUCAUAACGAAGAGGUAUCGUAAUUGAAGAGGUUUGGAAAGACCCACCACAGAAGGUAAUAGUCCUGUAUGUUAAACGAGAAGACUUCAGAUAUGAUCCAGAGUACCACGGGACACGUGAAACCCUGUGGGAAGCAGGAGGGACCACCCUCCAAGGCUAAAUACUACCUAGUGACCGAUAGCGUAUAGUACCGUGAGGGAAAGGUGAAAAGAACCCCGGGAGGGGAGUGAAAUAGAACCUGAAACCCUGCACUUACAAGCUGUGGAAGCACAUUUCUUGUGUGACCGCGUACUUUUUGUAGAACGGGCCAACGAGUUACGUUAAGUAGCAAGGUUAAGCACUUAAGGUGCGGAGCCGUAGCGAAAGCGAGUUUUAACUGAGCGUUCAGUUACUUGACGUAGACCCGAAACCGGGCGACCUACCCAUGAGCAGGAUGAAGCGAAAGUAAAAUUUCGUGGAGGUCCGAACCCACGAGCG